AGACGGGACCCGCACAAGCGGUGGAUGAUGUGGAUUAAUUCGAUGCAACGCGAAAACCUUACCUACCCUUGACAUGCCCGGAAUCCGAAGAGAUUUGGGAGUGCUCGCAAGAGAGCCGGAACACAGGUGCUGCAUGGCUGUCGUCAGCUCGUGUCGUGAGAUGUUGGGUUAAGUCCCGCAACGAGCGCAACCCUUGUCAUUAGUUGCCAUCAUUUGGUUGGGCACUCUAAUGAGACUGCCGGUGACAAACCGGAGGAAGGUGGGGAUGACGUCAAGUCCUCAUGGCCCUUAUGGGUAGGGCUUCACACGUCAUACAAUGGUCGGUACAGAGGGUUGCCAACCCGCGAGGGGGAGCUAAUCCCACAAAGCCGAUCGUAGUCCGGAUCGCAGUCUGCAACUCGACUGCGUGAAGUCGGAAUCGCUAGUAAUCGUGGAUCAGCAUGUCACGGUGAAUACGUUCCCGGGUCUU
rnacentral:rRNA from 1 species